GUCAUCAUGCCCCUUAUGCCCUGGGCGACACACGUGCUACAAUGGGCGGGACAAAGGGUCGCGAUCUCGCGAGGGUGAGCUAACUCCAAAAACCCGUCCUCAGUUCGGAUUGCAGGCUGCAACUCGCCUGCAUGAAGCAGGAAUCACUAGUAAUCGCCGGUCAGCCAUACGGCGGUGAAUCCGUUCCCGGGCCUUGUACACACCGCCCGUCACACUAUAGGAGCUGGCCAUGUUUGAAGUCAUUACCCUUAACCGUAAGGAGGGGGAUGCCUAAGGCUAGGCUUGCGAC
rnacentral:ncRNA from 1 species